UGAGGCCUUUGCCUGUUCGGAUUUGCUGC
rnacentral:piRNA from 2 species